AUUGUAUUCCUCUUUUCCUUUAUCUAGAAAUGAAUUGGUCUUACAUAUUUGAGCCAGAAUGCUUUUUUCUCCUGUUUGAAGUUGCUUAAGAUGUGUUGAUUCUAGCCAAUUGACUCGGGGAACGAAGGUCUGUUAAGCUAGAUAGUUAGUAGGGAUCACGGUUAUACAGUUAAUACAUGCAUCAUGCUUUUAUGCUCUCUGUCUCCCCAGUUCCUCUUUUGAGGCCUUUUGUAAAAAAGAACAACUUCAGUGUUUCAAACCAAAAGUUACACUCCCUCUUUUCUAGCAUUUUAUAUGAUGGUAUUUCAUUGGUACAGAGUUCAAGAUAUUCAUUUGACUUAUAUUUUAAAUGAGCGAUUAUAAAAGAAAAUGUUAAAGUAAUGCUGAAAAGUUUAUUUGAUGGAGAAAAAAUCAUGUCUAAUUUUAAAGUUUGAAUAGUUGAAUGCAUUUGAAUAACUGAAAGUUUGUAUAGAAAUGGAAAUGGUGUCAAAACAUUUGGGAGCGUCCAAAAUGGGAAGUGUCUAGAUCUGAACCUGAAAAAGUAGUUCAUAGACAGAGCCUUGAAAGUAGCGGUAAGCUUAGGUAAUGGAGGUUCUCUCUCUGAACUGAUGCUGGAUUAACUAAAUGUUAUUUAAAUUCAACAAAUUAUUCAAGUUAGAUUUAUAGUUUUGUUAAUAAUUCGACAAGUGACUUAGAUUUAUAGUUCUGGAUUUUGUGCUAUAGGAAUGGAUAAAAGAAUCUUAUAUAUGAAUGUUAUAGCAUUGAAUAAAGGUUUAGUGAUAUUCUUUUCCUAGAUCUGAUUUUGCAGCUAUUCUAGAGUACGGAGCUUCUGCAACUAUCAUCUAUUAACUUCUAAAGGAUGUAAUUCAAUUUCUUAAUCUGACUGGUUCAAAUGUUCAAUUCCUGGAUCUCAUCAAGCACUUUUAAUGUAUUUAGUUUUCCUUGCUCUUGUACUCAGGGGAUUUUGCACUAAUCAAUAGAAUUUUCACUUUCUCCAAGGUAUAACUUUUUUUCCCCAAAUCAGGACCUGCACAUCUUUCUGCCUUGAACUUAUCAAGUCUUCUUGUAGUUUAUAAACAUCUUUGGAAAACAUAGUAGUUUUAUGUUAUAUAAUUUGUAUAAAAGCACUACACUGCUCUUGUUUUCUCUUGGCAAGUUAUUUGUAGCUUAGCCCUUUGGAAGUAAAAACUUAUACUUUGAGUUCCACCAUUUUUCUGACUGAAAGUGUUUGGUUUAUAUUCUUUGCUUGAAAUCCUUUUCAUUCUUAAGUUUCAAGCUUAACAUAUUUGCAGUUAUGCAUGCUGGAAACAAGAAUAUAAUUUCACAUAUUAUAGCAAUUAGAUCUCACAUAGAGUAAUUAUUCAUCAUUAAACUGAAUAGAUUAAUGCCUGCUUCUAGUCAGUUUGUCUCAGCAUUUGAUGAGAGGUACAAUGUAAAUGAAUAUGACAAACUCUCAACAACCUGGAGAUGACCAGACUGACCACAACUAUUGGCUGUUAUCAAAUUCAUUGAUAAUUGUUGUGGUAUACCUUUGAUCAUUUGCAGAUUUUUUAAUGCGGUUGCACAAUAGGUUACUACUGGAGGACAAGCUUUGUCUAUUUAAGUUUGAAGUUGAGAUUGAGCAACUUCAAAGAUUUGGGACAAGGAAGCCAGCUUCUAAAGCUUCUUCUGUCAAAGACCAUGUACUUAAUCUGAUUUUCUUGGUAAGAUAGCACUUUCCUAUCUCGAUUUAAGAAGCUUUUACCCCUUAUCGGAGCAAGGCAGUGCACAAGUUUAAAUUACAAAUGAUUUUCAUCUCAGGAGAAGGAUGUGGCAGCAAAAUACUGUAAAAGGAACAGCGUGGUUUUUGGUUCCUUUUAAUGUUGCAUGUCCUAUCCAAGGCCACAGCUUACUCUAGUAGUUCCACAUCAAAGCAUUUAUGUCCAUCUACUGUCGAAGCUGAUUCUUACAAGGUAAUUUUGUCCUUGAAUCUGCAAGAAUGACAGUAUCUGAGAUUGGAAAGAGUCAAAGACGCACCCAAGGGGUGUGGCCUGGGGGUCAAUGAAGUGGAGGGGAGAAUCAAGAGGUCUUAGGUUCAUAUUCCAGUGGAGGCAAAAAAUACUAGGUGAUUUCUUCUCAUAUGCCUUAGCUUUGAUGGAGAGAGUUAGGGUACAUGUGCUAGUGGGAGGUAGCAACUACCCAGUGGAAUAGUCAAGCCGCACGCAAAAUGGCUUGGACACUACUGUCAUUU